rnacentral:rRNA from 1 species
UACGUAGGCGGAAAAUUAAGUCAGUAGUGAAAUCCUGCAGCUUAACUGUAGAACUGUUAUUGAUACUGGUUUUCUUGAAUAUAGUUGAGGUAGGCGGAAUGUGUAAUGUAGCGGUGAAAUGCUUAGAUAUUACACAGAACACCGAUUGCGAAGGCAGCUUACUAAGCUAUGAUUGACGCUGAGGUAUGAAAGCGUGGGGAGCGAACAGGAUUAGAUACCCUGGUAGUCC